GCUACGAUCUAGCCACUGGGAACCCAGCCGUGGACAGGGGAGAGGAUGCCCAGCUCCCAGGCAGCUUAUGGUCUUGUGAAGAGCCAACAUUUUAGUUGAAUCCUGCUACUUCCUGCUACUCUGCAUCAAGAACCAAACAGAAGUACAGAGUCCUCUCCGUUCACAAAAAAAGCCAAUUUCUUUUUAUAAAAUUAACAGAAAGUUACCAAAUACAGUUCUGUACACUGAAAGUUACCACAUGUAAAGCAAGCAUACAUAUUGCCUCGCAUUCCAGCCAGCAGGGCAGUCUCAGUGUGGAACCCCCCUGCUGAAUGGCACCUCUGGAAGGUAUGCAGCAGGCAGUACUGCCAACCAGAAAUGGCCGGGGCUUUCAGGAGACAUCACUGCUUUGGAGUUUCUUGCAGAAAACUUUCACAUUCAUCUCACACACAAGGAUUGCAAACUGCUUCCUUUUGUGUGUGUGUGUGUGUGUGUGUGUGUGUGUAUGUUCUCUGAUCAAAGGAAAGUGGGAUACUCUGUAAUACUCUGUAAUCAAUGAUAUGAAAUGGAAUUACACCCUGAGUACACUGUAAUGGGCAUUGUGGAUUUAGGUUAGGGGAGAAAAGUUGGCCUCCCAAAAUUUCUGUAUUUGGAGGGACCAGUAGACUUGUGUUUUUUGAUGACUUGGAUGUGUGAUGGUGUGGGAGGACAGUCUCAUCAAAUAUAAUUUACUCAGUAUUUAUUGAGUGCCUACUAUGUACCAAUCCUCUGGUUAUAUAAAAACAAAUAAUACAGCAUUUCUUCUUCAUGGAUAGAGUGGCUAAGUCGGGGACCUGCACAUAAACCAAGCACACUACAGUGGGUAAGUGUUCUAAGGGUCUGUGCACAGCACAUUACACUAUGACAUGUUAAGGCAUGCAGUAAUCUCUUAGUGCCUAUGGUGGGGAUGAAAGAUUUUCUCCUCAUCUCUGAAUGGCUGGGUGGAACCCCAGCAUGGAGCCUCGGCUGGAAACUAGAGGAUUCUGGACAAAGACGAGGACAGGCUCUAAUGUCAGGCCUUGGAACCAUCUGAGGUCACCACCUGUUAAGCACGCUUAACCUCUGUGGACCCAAGGUGGUGUGUGACAAGCAUCCCCAGGGCUUGCUGGACAACCAUUACUUUUUAUUACGUUUCUUACUGUCAGGUGCUCCGAAAUCCACAUGGACUGCUCUUAUGAUUUCAGGUUAUCCCAAAAGAGAAACUCAAGAAUCAGUGAUGAGCACAGCCGGGAGUGAGCCGGCUGCCUAUCUCAAAAGGGCACAUCACCAUAAUCACAGAUAUACCAUGAGCAUAUGCAGAAAGAAUGUACCGAGGGAGUGUGUGUCAGGAGCGGCCAAGAGGAUACAUAAACCAGGUGCCCCUCCCAGCAUCCCUCUCCCCCACCAAAGCAGUGCCUUUAAAAUAUGUGAUAGGUGCCCACAUUGUCUCUCUGGCCCCGCAGAAUGCCCCUCCCCCAACAGCCACCUUUGCUGCUCUUCGUCUAAAUCCACCCGGGGUCUCCCCUGGGCUGGCUGUUGCCUUCAUAUUUCAUGCGGAAUGCGCAGCUUCCCAGGAGCCGGACGCAUGCCCUGCAUUCUGAUGCAUCGGCCGGCUCUGACACCAGCCAGCUCCAGAGCAUGCCUAAUGAGGAGGCUGACACCGAGGCAGAAGAGCCAGGCCGGGCUGUGGACGGCCCGCUGCAAACAGGGAGUGGGGUGACAGGAAGGCACCAAGGGUGAACCCGGGGGAAAGAUGGCAGUUGCCUUUUUAAGACACGACUCUAGCAUCAGAUACUACAAACAUGGGCCAAUUUAAACCACACCAGGAAUGAAUCACAGCCUCGAAUAAAGAGCAAUUUGGAUCAAGGAACUUCCUUGGGGAAAGCAUAAAACUAAAAGAGGAAGGAGAAGCGGCAAACACUAAGAGAAGGCAGAAGCUUUGAAAUCACUCAUAUUUCAGUAGGCAGAGUGGUUGCCCAUUUUAGUUUUUCUUCCAGUGUAGAGCUCCUUCAAGUUUCCUUAGAGACCACUUCAUUAUCUAAAAGAUGCUGCUGAACAGAAGUUUUUCCUUUCCUGAAAGCCUCAUCUACCUUAAUUUCACACAUUAUUCCUCGUUUUGACUGGCUCUAUCAGGAUAAAUUGACCCUUGCUUCCCAUGGUAUUUAUGGCAUUUAUCCUUGGGGUAGAGCCAGUACCGACAAUCACCAUCCCAAAGCUACGAGGAUGCGAUGGUAACAUGCUCAUCAGCCAUCUACUUAACACUUUGCCCAAGCCUAGUCCCGUUUCAUCAUCCCAGCAACUUGAUGAGUUAGGUGCAGAUGAGAAAACCAAGAAUGACAGAAGUUUAUCCAAGGCCAUACAUCAGACCAACGGUCUCAAACAUGGGACCGCCUUCAGUACUUUCCAAUGAGCUGGGUACCCACU
rnacentral:lncRNA from 1 species